CGGCUCGUGAGUCCUCCUGAGAACCUGGUCCUCCUGGAGGAGGAGCAGGUUGUUCAUCCGGCUCAGCUAGUAAGUCCUCCUGAGAGCCUCGCCCUCCAGGAGGAGGAGCAGGAUUUUCAUCCUUCCCGUCCCGUGAGUCCUCCUGAGGGCCUCGUCCUCCAGGAGGAGCACCAGGAUUUUCAACCUGCCCGGCUGGGGAGUCCUCCUGAGAGCCUCGUCCUCCUGUAGGAGGAGCAGCAUGUUCAUCCUGCCCGGCUGGUAAGACAUCAUGAGAGCCUCGUCUUCUUGGAGGAGGAGCAGGAUAUUCAAUCUGCCCCGCUGGGGAGUCUUCAUGAGUGCCUCGCCCUCCUGUAGGAGGAGCAAGAUGUUCAACCUGCCCGGCUGUAGAGACAUCAUGAGAGCCUCGUCCUCCAGGAGGAGGAACUAGAUUUUCAUCCUUCCCGGCUCGUGAGUCCUCCGGAGAGUCUGGUCUUCCAGGAGGAAGAGCAGGAUGUUCAUCCUGCCUGGCUUCUGAGUCCUCAUGAGAGCCUCGUCCUCCAGGAGGUGGAGCAGGAUUUAAAUCCUGCCUGGCUGGUGAAUCCACCUGAGAGCCUUGUCCUCCAGGAGGAGGAGCAGGUUUUUCAUCCUGCACGGCUGUUGGCUCGUCAUGAGAGCCUCGUAAUCCAGGAGGAGGAGCAGGAUUUUCAUCCUGCCUGGCGGGUGGGUCCACCUGAGAUCCUUGUCCUCCAGGAGGAGGAGCAGGAUUUUCAUUGGGUCCGGCUGGUGAGUCCUCAUGAGAGCCUUGUCCUCCUGUAGGAGGAGCAGAAUGUUCAUCCUGCCCGGCUGGUGAGACAUCCUGAGAGCCUCGUCCUCCAGGAGGAUUAACCAGAUUUUCAUCCUUCCCGGCUGAUGAGUCCUUCUGAGAGCCUUGGCCUCCAGGAGGAGGAGCAGGAUUUUCAUUCUGCCUGGCUGGUGAGUCCACCUGAGAGCCUUGUCCUCCAGGAGGAGGAGAAGCAUUUUCCUCCCGGCCAGCUAGUGAGUCCUCCUGAGAGCCUGGUCCUCCAGCAGGAGGAGCAGGAUUUUCAUCCCUCCCGGCUCGUGAGUCCUCCUGAGAGCCUCGUCCAACCGCAGGAGAAGCAGGAUUUUCCUCCUGCUGGGCUGGUGUGUCUGCAUGAGAGAUUCUUCCUCCUGUUGGAGGAGCCGGAUAUGCAUCCUGCCUGGCUGGAG
rnacentral:lncRNA from 9 species